GAGGCACGUCAGGCAAUCGCUUUAGUCCUGACCUCAUCAGGAUUAAGGAGGAAAGUCCGAACUCUAUCCCGCACGGCGGGAUGGGCACGGUGCUGGAUAACAUCCAGGGUCCCGUUCAUUCGGGAUACGGAAAGUGUCACAGAAAAUAUACCGCCCCGUGAGAUGAGAUUACGCCGGAAGAAAUUCAUCUUGCAGCGUAAUGAUCUCACGAGGCAAGGGUGAAAAGGUGCGGUCCGCCACAGCGGACUUAAUGUAAGAGCGCACCGCGUCCGCCGCGAGGCGAACGGCAUGACAAACCCCACCGAGAGCAAAGCCGCGUAGGUCCCGCGUCCUGUUUCUUCGCAAGAAGAAGCGGGAGAAGAAGUGCCCGUUCAACUCUUCUGGUACGCCUUGCGUACCGGAAAACGCGGGACGGGUAGGCUGCUGGAGUGACGCAGCAAUGCGCCAUCGAGAGAAAUGGUUGCCUCCCCUUCCGAAGUCGUCGGAAGAGAAGACAGAAUUCGGCUUAUCGGCGUGCCUCAUGC
rnacentral:RNase_P_RNA from 1 species